rnacentral:rRNA from 1 species
UACGAAGGGGGCUAGCGUUGCUCGGAAUCACUGGGCGUAAAGCGCACGUAGGCGGCUUUUUAAAUCAGGGGUGAAAUCCUGGAGCUCAACUCCAGAACUGCCUUUGAUACUGAGAAGCUUGAGUCCGGGAGAGGUGAGUGGAACUGCGAGUGUAGAGGUGAAAUUCGUAGAUAUUCGCAAGAACACCAGUGGCGAAGGCGGCUCACUGGCCCGAUACUGACGCUGAGGCACGAAAGCGUGGGGAGCAAACAGG